rnacentral:rRNA from 1 species
CCUACGGGUGGCAGCAGUGAGGAAUAUUGGUCAAUGGGCGAGAGCCUGAACCAGCCAAGUCGCGUGAAGGAUGACGGCCCUACGGGUUGUAAACUUCUUUUGUCAGGGAGCAAUUGAGUUCACGUGUGGGCUUAGCGAGAGUACGUGAAGAAAAAGCAUCGGAGAACUCCGUGCCAGCAGCCGUGGUAAUACGGAGGAUGCGAGCAUUAUCCGGUUUUAUGGGGUUAAAGGGGUGCUUAAGCGGAAUAUCAGGUCAGCGGGAAAAAUUCGGGGCUCACCCCCGUCGUGCCGUGGAAACUGAUGUUCUUGAGGGGGCGAGAAGUAGGCGGAAUGCGUGGUGUAGCGGUGAAAUGCAUAGAUAUCACGCAGAACUCCGAUUGCGAAGGCAGCAUACCGGCGCCCAACUGACGCUGAAGCACGAAAGCGUGGGUAUCGAACAGGAUUAGAUACCCUAGUAGUC